GGUUCGAGGUUCCCGAGCGGCCAAAGGGAGCAGACUGUAAAUCUGCCGUCAUCGACUUCGAAGGUUCGAAUCCUUCCCCCACCACCA
rnacentral:tRNA from 1 species